UUCAGCUUUCUCUCUCUACCCGAGAGCUUCUCUCUCCUCAUUCUCAACGGAAAUCGCCGCCGCCUAGUCGGAAUCCCAAUCCUCACCAAAAUUUCCAGAUUUUCUCCUCUUCCUCCCCUCUUUCCAUUUCUCCAACCAAAAUCAAGAAAUUUGGCCAUUCAAUCCUCCAAAAACCUAAGAACCCGAAGCUAAUUUGGGGGUUUUUGUGAUUUCUUCUUUCCAAGCUUAAAUCAAGGCUACGGGUUUGGCAAUGAUUUUUGGUGAAGAAGGCCAAGGAGAAGGAAUAGGCCGUGAUUUUUGAAGAAGAAAGGAAAACACGAUCGUUAAGGAAGCUUAAGCGGAAAGCAUCAGAGUGUGGAGUACGCCAGCAUUUUCUAAGUAGGGUUAAAACGAGGUCAUUCCGGACGAUUUGGAUUAGAAGUGGGUCGUUGGCCGAGUCCGUGUGUUGCUGCUCCUGUUGCUUGAAGUUCUUCCCUUUGGUACUCCAUUAAUUUACUCGUUUUUCAUUCCAUGUUGAACUCUGUGAGGUCCGCCUACCUGGGAGCGCGCCUCACCCCUUUGUUUUAUUGUUAUUGUUGAACUCCUUUCAUUUCAGUUAUGAUGUAAGCCCUAAGGUGCCACAGUGCACUUGCCCACUUUAUUUUUAAGCAUUUCCAGACUUGUUAA